AGGGAAGCGCCGCUGCCGCCACUGCCGCCGCUGCCGCCACUGCCGCCGCCUCACCCGCGGCGACACAGACGCCGGGAGCGGCCGAGGCGAGUGACUUCUUCUGACUUGAGCUGGCAGUGUGCUUUGAGAGAUCUACCACAGGAAAUACCUGCCUGCAGUGACAGGAACAGCAAGAUGGAAUAGCUUCAUUCUGAGGUCUAGGGUAAGGGAAAGAGGAAGAUGGCUCUCCCUGCCGUAAUUGCCUUCGUGAGACGGAGAAGAGAAAGGGAGACAAGUGAAAAGAAGACGAGAAAGAGACUGCAUAACAGGCCCUCUGGUGGCUUUCAGCUUCUCAGAAAAGGAGUGUGAACUGAAAGAUCCGAAAGAACUCCAGAUGUCCAUGGGGCCAAGGAGUGCAUCAUCAUAAUUCCAGACAGGUCUUAAUGAUUCCCCAGCCAUCUCGGGAACAGUCCCCUUGACUUUCAGCUUGGAUAUAUUUAACUUUGUACAUCCUAAUGAUUGCUAUGUAUAUGUGUGUGUCACACACACAAUAUCUUAUUCUGUAUUAUGACAUAUUGUGACAGUUGUGUUAAAUUUGUUGCUUUAUAUAUUUUUCUCCACUCCUGCCUCUUCUACUCCACCCUUUCUACUCCGUGGGUGGUCCGGGGACCAGCAGCAUCAGCCUCACCUGAGAGCUUGUUAGAAAUGCAGCAUCGCAGGUCCCACUCUCAGACCUGAUGAGUCAGAAUCUGCAUUUUAACAGGAUUCCCAGGGAUUCUCCUGCAUUUGAAUCUUUGAGAAUUGAUGUUUUACAUAAUGACUGUUUCAUUUUAUUUUUUUUUUAGCCAACUGUGCUUUUAAUAAUGAGAUUAAAAUCCUUCAAAGUCAAAAUAUUGUGAAGGUAACCCUACUUUAAGAUUAGACCAGAUAUAGUGCACAAAAUUAAGGCAUUUAAACGCAUUUUCUAGUUAAAUUAUUGAAUUUAUCAUUGAUAAGCGUAUUUAAAGCUUCUUAUUUUCAAAUUCUUCUCUGAGUUUUGCGUUCUUAGCUCUCACAAACCUUGGCUCUUUCUUGUAG
rnacentral:lncRNA from 1 species